rnacentral:rRNA from 1 species
GACGAACGCUGGCGGCGUGCUUAGCACAUUCAAGUCGAACGGAAAGGCCCUGCUUUUUUGUGGUGCUCGAGUGGCGAACGGGUGAGUAACACGUGAGUAACCUGCCCUUUACUUUGGGAUAACUUCAGGAAACUGGGGCUAAUACCGGAUAGGAGCUCCUGCUGCAUGGUGGGGGUUGGACAGUUGCGGCGGUUGGGGCUGGACUCGCGGCUUAUCAGCUUGUUGGUGGGGUAGUGGCUUACCAAGGCUUUGACGGGUAGCCGGCCUGAGAGGGUGACCGGCCACAUGGGGACUGAGAUACGGCCCAGACUCCUAAGGGAGGCAGCAGUGGGGAAUAUUGCAAAAUGGGCGGAAGCCUGAUGCAGCAACGCCGCGUGCGGGAUGACGGCCUUCGGGUUGUAAACCGCUUUCGCCUGUGACGAAGCGUGAGUGACGGUAAUGGGUAAAGAAGCACCGGCUAACUACGUG